rnacentral:piRNA from 1 species
UUCACAUUGGCCAACGGCCUGAAUUGCCUU